rnacentral:rRNA from 1 species
UAGGGAAUCUUCGGCAAUGGACGGAAGUCUGACCGAGCAACGCCGCGUGAGUGAAGAAGGUUUUCGGAUCGUAAAGCUCUGUUGUAAGAGAAGAACGAGUGUGAGAGUGGAAAGUUCACACUGUGACGGUAUCUUACCAGAAAGGGACGGCUAACUACGUGCCAGCAGCCGCGGUAAUACGUAGGUCCCGAGCGUUGUCCGGAUUUAUUGGGCGUAAAGCGAGCGCAGGCGGUUAGAUAAGUCUGAAGUUAAAGGCUGUGGCUUAACCAUAGUACGCUUUGGAAACUGUUUAACUUGAGUGCAAGAGGGGAGAGUGGAAUUCCAUGUGUAGCGGUGAAAUGCGUAGAUAUAUGGAGGAACACCGGUGGCGAAAGCGGCUCUCUGGCUUGUAACUGACGCUGAGGCUCGAAAGCGUGGGGAGCAAACAGGAUUAGAUACCCUGAUAGUCCACGCCGUAAACGAUGUGUGCUAGGUGUUAGACCCUUUCCGGGGUUUAGUGCCGCAGCUAACGCAUUAAGCACUCCGCCUGGGGAGUACGACCGCAAGGUU